CCUACGGGUGGCUGCAGUGAGGAAUAUUGGUCAAUGGACGCAAGUCUGAACCAGCCAUGCCGCGUGCAGGAUGACGGCCCUAUGAGUUGUAAACUGCUUUUGUACGAGGGUAAACCCCGAUACGUGUAACGGGUUGAAAGUAUCGUACGAAUAAGGAUCGGACAACGCCGCGCCAGCAGCCGCGGUAAUACGGAGGAUCCGGUCGUUAUCCGGAUUUAUUGGGUUGAAGGGGUACGGAGGCGGUUUGGUAAGUUAGAUGGGAAAUGUCGGGGCUCAACCCCGAAACUGCCUCUAAUACUGUUGGGCUAGAGAAUAGUUGCGGUAGGCGGAAUGUAUGGUGUAGCGGUGAAAUGCUUAGAGAUCAGACAGAACACCGAUUGCGAAGGCAGCUUACCAAACUAUAUCUGACGUUGAGGCACGAAAGCGUGGGUAGCAAACAGGAUUAGAUACCCGUGUAGUC
rnacentral:rRNA from 1 species